UACGUAGGUGGCAAGCGUUGUCCGGAAUUAUUGGGCGUAAAGCGCGCGCAGGCGGUCUCUUAAGUCUGAUGUGAAAGCCCACGGCUCAACCGUGGAGGGUCAUUGGAAACUGGGGGACUUGAGUACAGAAGAGGAAAGCGGAAUUCCACGUGUAGCGGUGAAAUGCGUAGAGAUGUGGAGGAACACCGGUGGCGAAGGCGGCAUCCUGGACCAACACUGACGCUGAGGAGCGAAAGCCAGGGGAGCAAACGGG
rnacentral:rRNA from 1 species